AUCAAGUUCACCUGAGCAGCAGGUCCGGUCAUGUCGUAGCUCCCCGUACCGAUCAAGAACUUGCCACUGACAUGAAGUCCGUUUACAGUAAGUGCCAGGAGGACUGGUAGCAAUACUUGGUAAUGUGAGCGCUGAAACAUUUUGUUUUACUUGUUCACUAAUGACGUCUUGUUUGAAAUGGGUGUACUUAUAGUUGGCAGGAGUGACAAAAAUGUUUGAGAAUCACUAAGGCGGGAAGCAUUGGUACUAACGUUUAGGUGCUUAGCAAGUAGCUGUCAGAUCAGAGUAAGCAAGAAGUUCCGACGGUAUAUAUUUGCAGGGGCUGCUGGCUGGCACGUAUCAUGACUUGUUUUAAACUGUAUAUAUGUGCUUCUUCGGUAUCAUCUUACCGGUGGCUGAUGAUUUUGGAUAUUUUGACGGAGCGUGUUAGCUACUAAGUUCAGCCAGAAAAAAAAAAGAAUGCGGAAUGGAUUCUGUGAAUUUGCAAGUACAAGCAGAAUUAGACAAUUAGUUUAUAUUAUCAAUGAGCUAAGAGAAUGCAUUUUUUUAUAUGAAUGAAUUGAUAAUAUUGGUUUUGUUGGGAAGCAACCCAAAACCAAAAUUGUGCGAGUUUGACCCAGAACAGUAUUAUAAGUAGGCUAAAAAUGAUAUA
rnacentral:lncRNA from 1 species